GGGUUGUAGGCAACCUGCUCUAUUGCUGCUGACACCCACCGCUCAUAUUCUAACCAGAAGAGGCUGCUUAGUGUGGCGUCAACCCGUCCCUUUCAACUUCUAAUCUUUGGACGGUGCCAUCUUUUUCUUCUUGUUGUUAUUUUUGGGGGCUAAUUUACAAUCUGGACGCCUUCCCACAGCAGGGUUACCUCCUGCCCGCGUCCAGCCCAGCUGCCGCCUUCAGAGGCACCAUGCAGCCAGAUGGACAGACACAGGCACACGUCUGUGCACCAGCACCGCUCCCUGUGAAGGAAACAGACGGAAGAGGCUGGCGGAGCAAGCUGCUGCCUAAGCUGUCAUUGCUUAGGAAAAAGUGGCAGAGGACAUCUCUGACACCUUGGAAACAUGGCACCAGCUCAUGCCCUGCUGUGUGGCUGUCCCCUGAUGGGAACUAAGAAGCCAUUCUUGGAGCCUCCAUCCCUCUGUCCUUGACAAAAAACAAAAACUAGGGUGUGGAAAGAUGCUGCCAAACCCUGCACCACAACAGCUCUUGCCACAAGUGCUCCCUUGCCUCAAACCAAUCUAGGAGGAAGCGCAGCAUAAACAGUCUGGUAAGAUCUGCUCCAGACGCCUGCUGUGGCACAUCAGGAGACUAACAUAUUAACUCUGAAAAAACCACUAAUUCUAAGGAGAACUCUGUACUUAAGGUGGAAGACAUUUUGCAGAGAUCAGCAGAGUUUGUCUGGUGCUGAGAAACCAGGGAAACCUGUUAACAGCAGACUCUGAGGAUAAUUGAGAAAAUUAGUCAACGCCGCUUUUAAAGGAUUUUUGAUUACAAUAUCGCAUGGGUUGGUAAUACUUUGCUCUUAAUCUUUUCAAAUAUACACUUGCAAGGGUUUGUUUAUCCCUUGCUUCUGACUUGCAGUCAAACAGGGGCUCUGCUCCUUCUGGGGCUCCAGUUGAGCAAGCCAACUACGUCACUGUAUGUAAAAUCAUUGGACAACACAUCCAUGCCAUACAGGAGGUCAUUAUUUCUUUUUGCAUGUAACAUAGUACAAAGAACCAGCAGCUGAAGUAUCACUUGAUAAAAACAACAGCUCCCAAUUAUACAAGCUAAGGCUGUCGUAAGGGUGACAGAGCACUGGAACAGGUUGCCCAUAGAGGUUGUGGAGGCUCCUUCAAUGGAGAUAUUCAAGACUCAUCUGGAUGCCUACCUCUGUGACCUACGCAGGGAACCUGCUUUAGCAGGGGGCUUGGACUCAAUGAUCUCUUGAGGUCAACCUUCCAACCCCUACAAUUCUGUGAAAGGACCUAAGACCAAGACCCCUGCCCAUGGGCCAGCAUGCAGUGAAGGUGGGAAAUGAGUGCUAUAGGGUACCCAUCACAAUGGAAGAGACAAACCUGCCAACAGAAAGGGGACUGGCCCGAGAUGCCCAUCCUGGAGCUCGGCGGACUUCCUGAAGCCAGCCUUAUUUAUUUUGCUGAAAAUACUUCAUGCAAAAACAGCUUGGGAAAGGUAGGCUGGUGCCCCAGUUUCAUCCCAUCCCUCUCUUUCACCCUUAUUUCAUGAGGAAGAUGCAUAUUCCAUUUCACAUAAGCCCAGGCGUAUGCAAGUGAUUUCAUGUGACCAGCUACAUAUAAUUAUCCUAGAUGUAGGCCUAUAAAUGAUUCAUUAAGAUCUGUAUCAGCUGGUUAUUUAAUGUGUCCUGCUAAUUAAAACUUUGUGAUAAAGACAACUACAAGCUUUCUGUAAUUAUGCCUCUGGACAGCACAACGUGUUUCCAACCAGUAUUUGCAGUUCCUGGGUAUACAUUGACACCUAAAGUAGGGUAGAAAAAUAUAGGUUAACUGCUGCUCUUAAUAGCUCUUUGUUAAUAAAGUUAUUGUAGAAUUUUAUU
ensembl:lncRNA